rnacentral:rRNA from 1 species
GAUGAACGCUGGCGGCGUGCUUAACACAUGCAAGUCGAACGGUGAAGCAGAGUUUGCUCUGUGGAUCAGUGGCGAACGGGUGAGUAACACGUGAGCAAUCUGCCCCUGACUCUGGGAUAACAGCUGGAAACAGCUGCUAAUACCGGAUACGAGCUGCGAAGGCAUCUUCAGCAGCUGGAAAGAAUUUCGGUCAGGGAUGAGCUCGCGGCCUAUCAGCUUGUUGGUGAGGUAACGGCUCACCAAGGCGUCGACGGGUAGCCGGCCUGGGAGGGGGACCGGCCACACUGGGACUGGGACACGGCCCAGACUCCUACGGGAGGCAGCAGUGGGGAAUAUUGCACAAGGGGCGAAAGCCUGAUGCAGCAACGCCGCGUGAGGGACGACGGCCUUCGGGUUGUAAACCUCUUUUAGCAGGGAAGAAGCGAAAGUGACGGUACCUGCAGAAAAAGCACCGGCUAACUACGUGCCAGCCGCCGCUGUAAUAC